CAGCAAUUUGUGGGAAUGCCUUUUUAGUUUAAUAAAAAGAGUAUAUUAGGUUUAACUUUAUAUAUUAUUUUUUAUUAAAUUAAUAAUUCAAAACCUUUGAAUGUAAUUCUAGAUAAAAUAUUGAUAAUGACAAAGUUUUAUCUAUAUGUCUUGACCAAAUCUUGUGCCAGCAGUCGCGGCAACACAAGGAAGACAAGUGUUAUUCAUCUUAAAUCGGUUUAAAGGGUACCUAGACGGUAAAUUAGGCCUUAAAUGGAACGUUUUUACUAGAGUUAUAUAUGCAUGAGGAAUAGAGUAUUACCAGAGUAGAGAUGAAAUUUUUUGAUACUGUUAAGACUGGUAAAGGCAAAAGCAAACCUUUAUAUAUUAACUGACGUUGAGGGACGAAGGCUUGGGGAGCAAACAGGAUUAGAUACCCUAAUAGUCCAGGCAGAGAAUUAUGAAUGUCAUAGAAUAGAUAA
rnacentral:rRNA from 2 species